rnacentral:lncRNA from 1 species
GCCGAGCGGGAGCCGCGCGGGAGCAGCGCAGCUACGGCGGCGGCAGCGGCGGCGCGGUUGCGAUUCCGAGCCGUUGAGACGCCUCUGCGGCAGCUGGUGGCGCAGGUGGCUUGCGUGGACGCGGGUAGAGGCGACCGGCCAGCAACCGCAGCGUCGGCGCCCGCGGCCCCGGCAGGCGCGUCGGGACGCCCCGAGGCAUCCUCCCCCGCCCGCGGGCCCGGUAGCUGGGCCCGCGUCCGCCGCCCGCAUCCCCGCGCCGCCGCAUCUCCUCGCCGCCUCCCGGGCUUCGGACCCCCGGUCUCGCCCCCGAAACAUGACUCGCGAUUUCAAACCUGGAGACCUCAUCUUCGCCAAGAUGAAAGGUUAUCCCCAUUGGCCAGCUCGAGUAGACGAAGUUCCUGAUGGAGCUGUAAAGCCACCCACAAACAAACUACCCAUUUUCUUUUUUGGAACUCAUGAGACGCUCCUAGGUGGAAGAGACUUGCCUUGCCUCAGAUGAGACUUUGGACUUGGACUUUUGAGUUAAUGCUGGAAUGAGUUAAGACUUUGGGGGAUGGGGACUGUUGGAAGGGCAUGGUUGUGUUUUGAAAUGUGAGGACAUGAGAUUUGAGAGAGGGGGCAGGGGCAGAAUGAUAUGGUUUGGCUCUGUGUCCCCUCACAAAUCUCACCUUGAAUUCUAAUAAUCCCCAGGUGUUAAGGGCGGAACCAGGUGGAGGUAAUUGAAUGAUGGAGGUGG